rnacentral:rRNA from 1 species
GACGAACGCUGGCGGCGUGCUUAACACAUGCAAGUCGAACGGAAAGGCCCUGCUCUUGUGGGGUGCUCGAGUGGCGAACGGGUGAGUAACACGUGAGUAACCUGCCCUUGACUUUGGGAUAACUUCAGGAAACUGGGGCUAAUACCGGAUAGGAGCUCCUGCUGCAUGGUGGGGGUUGGAAAGUUUCGGCGGUUGGGGAUGGACUCGCGGCUUAUCAGCUUGUUGGUGGGGUAGUGGUUUACCAAGGCUUUGACGGGUAGCCGGCCUGGGAGGGGGACCGGCGACAUUGGGACUGAGAGACGGCCCAGACGCCAACGGGAGGCAGCAGGGGAGAAUAUGGCACAAUGGGCGGAAGCCUGAUGCAGCAACGCCGCGUGCGGGAUGACGGCCUUCGGGUUGUAAACCGCUUUCGCCUGUGACGAAGCGUGAGUGACGGUAAUGGGUAAAGAAGCACCGGCUAACUACGUG